rnacentral:rRNA from 1 species
AUUGAACGCUGGCGGCAGGCCUAACACAUGCAAGUCGAGCGGAUGAAGGGAGCUUGCUCCUGGAUUCAGCGGCGGACGGGUGAGCAAUGCCUAGGAAUCUGCCUGGUAGUGGGGGAUAACGUCCGGAAACGGGCGCUAAUACCGCAUACGUCCUGAGGGAGAAAGUGGGGGAUCUUCGGACCUCACGCUAUCAGAUGAGCCUAGGUCGGAUUAGCUAGUUGGUGGGGUAAAGGCCUACCAAGGCGACGAUCCGUAACUGGUCUGAGAGGAUGAUCAGUCACACUGGAUCGGAGACACGGUCCAGACUCCUACGGGAGGCAGCAGUGGGGAAUAUUGGACAAUGGGCGAAAGCCUGAUCCAGCCAUGCCGCGUGUGUGAAGAAGGUCUUCGGCUUGUAAAGCACUUUAAGUUGGGAGGAAGGGCAGUAAGUUAAUACCUUGCUGUUUUGACGUUACCAACAGAAUAAGCACCGGCUAACUUCGU